rnacentral:rRNA from 1 species
UACGUAGGGUGCGAGCGUUGUCCAGAAUUAUUGGGCGUAAAGAGCUCGUAGGCGGUUUGGCAAGUCGGGUGUGAAAACUCCGGGCUCAACUCGGAGACGCCACUCGAUACUGCUAUGACUCGAGUCCGGUAGGGGAGUGCGGAAUUCCUGGUGUAGCGGUGAAAUGCGCAGAUAUCAGGAGGAACACCGGUGGCGAAGGCGGCACUCUGGGCCGGAACUGACGCUGAGGAGCGAAAGCGUGGGGAGCAAACAGG